GCGGACUUGAAGGGAACACCUUCCUGACAUCCAGGAAAAAGGUGAGAUUAUAAUACAUUUGAAUGCCAAAAGCAAGUUAUUGUUUUUAACUUUUGAAAUAUGAUUGUUUUGGGGCAUUUCAGUUUUAUUGGACAGGCAGUAGAGAUCUACUGGAAACAGUGGAGAGGGAGGAGAUGAUAUGCAGCAUACGGCCCAGCCGGAUGGUUGCUGCUCCGUGUGGAACGUGUCCUAUCAGGUGUAACAUCUACCAAUGGUUGUACAUGACAGAGACCUCCUCCGCCUCUUUGCUGUCUUACUAGUCAAUCCUUCUGAUCAGGUCCUUUCCUAAAUAGUGAAAGGAUCAUGCCAGCCCACAUCAAACACCUGAUCAAGAGCUUGUGAACCUCACUGCUGCAGACACCUGUGUGAUAUUCCACUCUGACUGGAACCCUCAAAAUGACCUGCAGGCUCAAGCUCGGUUCGUCAUCGUUUUGGCCAGUCUAAGGCGGUGGAGGUGUACCGUCUGAUCACUAGAAACUAUGAGAGGGAAAUGCUGGAUAAAGCUAGUCUGAAGCUCGGGCUGGACCGUCCCGUCCUGCAGAGCAUGAGUGGCAACAACAACGGGCCGGUCCAGCAGUUCUCCAAGAAGGAGAUCGAGGACCUGCUGAGGAAAGGAGCCUACGCUGCCAUCAUGGACGAGAACGACGAAGGCAAUCGCUUCUGCUAGGAGGACAUCGACCAGAUCCUGCAGCGAAGAGCCACCAUCAUCACCAUCACCAGUUUGCUUCAAGCAGUGGCUGCACGAGAAAGACGUGGAGGACCAAGAAAUGCUGGCCAGAUUGGCAAAGACCGGAAGAUACAUAACAGAGAAGAUAAUGGAUAUUAAAAAGAAAAAGAAAAAAAAUGUUUAUAAUUUCUUUGUUUCU